CACAAACCUGGAGAGGACAGGAAGAAGGCAGGGGUGAGGUUAGAGAAGAAGAAAAGUGAAAGCAAUGUCCAGAUCUGUCCUGUGCUGUGUUGCACUCACGUCUCGAGGACUCUCUGAUCGUCUGGGUUCUUGUCCAGAAACUCAAGGAUUUCCAACAGGCUCUGGAUGUACCUGAGAGUGUACAAACACAGGAGAGUCCUUGACUGCUACAGCAUGGUCUGGAGGAGCUGGACGGAGGGCGUGGCCAGCAGCUUGUCAGGCAGGAGGUUGAUCUCCUUCAUGAUGUUGGACAAACGGACAGGGAGCUCCUGGCGAAGGAAGACAAAGGACGUGCGCUCGCAGGCAUUGGUCGAACCUGGAUGACAGAACAGAGGCAGCUGAAGCAAGUUGUGAGCCCAACACUGAAAUAUCAUCACAUUGAUAUGAGAGCUUUUGGCAUUCAUCUGUACAUCAGGUGAAUGGUCGCGGGGGAGCUGGAGCCUAUCCCAGCUGACUAUGGGCGAGAGGCGGCGUACACCCUGGACUGGUCGCCAGUUAAUCGCAGGGCUGACACACAAAAACCACACACGACCUGCUUGUGCUUUGUUGUUGACUUCAUUUUCCAGUAGAAUUAUUGGGAGCUGUAGUUGCAGCUGUUUGUUGCGAUUGUAUUUUCAUAUUACAAUAUUUUACUGUAAUAUUCGCAAUACUGUAAUUUAGCAUUCUGCUGUGAAAUUGAUAUUUGCACAGUAAAUUACUGUGAACAUCGUUUUUGCCCGAAUUUCACAAAAUGUCACUGUAUGUUUGCACCAUAGACUUUAAAUACUGUAUUCACACCAUCAUUUGUGAUAACACAACAUAUUACGGUAAAAAAUUGAAUCGCGCUUGCACCGCCUUGCAUUGUGGGACCAAAGCAGAGCAGCGGUGAACCAGGUGCGCUUGGCGCACAUAUACCAAGAGGAGAGCAAAGAGGUGAGGUGAACGUCAUAUAAGAUAUUAGACAGUUUGUUAUGACUUGGUAUUAGGUGUGUGAAUUAGUACAUGAACGAAUGAAUUCAUUUUUUAUGGUCUCCGCAUGUUGAUGGGAGGGAUAGUUAGAGGAGCUGAGAAACUGCGGUGAAUUAGCCGCGAAUUAGCUUAAACGCUAAGUAGCCCAGUGACUGAAGCAACCCCACAUCAUUUCCAAGCUUUGAAGCUUUGCCACACAGGCAAGUAACUUAUACCAUUGGGAAGCUUAAAUUAUGCUCUUUCAUUUUAUGAGUAUCAGGUGUCGAUAGUUUGUGAGUUAAUUGACCGCGAAGAUGCAGUGAAGUAGCCACGUAUUAGCCGCGAAUUAGCGUGAACGUGGAUGGAUAGCUGCUGCAAUGUAAGAGCAUCGCUUACUGUAUAGUGUAUGUGUUAAACAUUUAUAUCCAGACAUGCAAUAUCAUAUUUCAUAAUAUUAUACUCACAUUUUUUUUCUAUGUUUAUGCCCUAAAAACUGCUAUUAAAUUAUCUUUGGAAAUAUGAAAACUGAGUUUGAUUCGAUGGCAAAUGUCAUUCCCAGUCUGUUGUUGUUGUUAGUUUAGUAUUUUCUACUUGUUCUAUUUAUCUACUUGUAAUAAAAGAUAA